GGUCCCGUAGCUCAGUAGGAUAGAGCGGCAGAUUCCUAAUCUGUAGGUCGCAGGUUCGAUCCCUGCCGGGAUCACCA
rnacentral:tRNA from 5 species